AAGUACGCUUAGUGAGCAGACCAAAAGAUACAAUAAAGCAUCAUCAUGACUGCGAGGGUAGCAAUGAAUUCUCAUAUCAAGGACAAUCAUCACCAACACCUCCUUUUCCUGAAGAACGGGAGCACAUGAGAAAGAGCGGUGAGAAUCUGGAUGAAAAUUCGAGAAGAGUGCACAAACAAAUGACUCAAAACAAGACUCCAAGCCAUAUGUCCUCAAAGAAGAGAUGUCGUCCUUCGGAAGAGUAAUUUUGAAAUCUUCAAUAUAUCCAAAUAAAAGGCGCGUGGCAUAUGCAACUAUUUUGGAUAGUAAUUCAAAAACAUUGGUUGGUGGUGUUGAGCUGGGCCGACAAUUUACACAUGUGCAAAUUGAUGAACCUAUUGGCGAAGAUGAGCGCUUGGUAAGAGAAAGGGAGAAGUGUAUGACAAUCGGUGAUGCUUUUUCCUCUGGAGUAACAAUUGCUUGGCCUUCAGCAUGUAUUGAGAAGUUCAGUGGAUGACUUGAGAGUUGAUAUUGAUGCUUUGUCUAACGAUGGAGUGAAGAUGGAAAAUAUGUAGGAUUGGUCUGAGAAAUAUCGAAGGGCAGAUUGGAGCAGCCAUGAUUGGUGUUUUUGCAUAGUCACGAUGAUAUUAAGUAUUUCAUGUAUUAUAGGUUAGCUUAGUAUGUUGAGAAAUGUAGUAGUUUUUC